CGCUGGCGGCGUGCCUAAUACAUGCAAGUCGAGCGAAUCACUGGGAGCUUGCUCCCAGUGAUUAGCGGCGGACGGGUGAGUAACACGUGGGCAACCUGCCUGUAAGACUGGGAUAACUUCGGGAAACCGGAGCUAAUACCGGAUAAUACUUUUCUGCUCAUGCAGAGAAGCUGAAAGAUGGCUAUCUGCUAUCACUUACAGAUGGGCCCGCGGCGCAUUAGCUAGUUGGUGAGGUAACGGCUCACCAAGGCAACGAUGCGUAGCCGACCUGAGAGGGUGAUCGGCCACACUGGGACUGAGACACGGCCCAGACUCCUACGGGAGGCAGCAGUAGGGAAUCUUCCGCAAUGGACGAAAGUCUGACGGAGCAACGCCGCGUGAGUGAUGAAGGUUUUCGGAUCGUAAAACUCUGUUGUUAGGGAAGAACAAGUACCGGAGUAACUGCCGGUACCUUGACGGUACCUAACCAGAAAGCCACGGCUAACUACGUGCCAGCAGCCGCGGUAAUACGUAGGUGGCAAGCGUUGUCCGGAAUUAUUGGGCGUAAAGCGCGCGCAGGCGGUCCUUUAAGUCUGAUGUGAAAGCCCACGGCUCAACCGUGGAAGGUCUUUGGAAACUGGGGGACUUGAAUGCAGAGAAGAAAGUGAAUUCCACGUGUACCGUUAAAAGCGUAAAAU
rnacentral:rRNA from 1 species